rnacentral:piRNA from 1 species
UUCAAUUUAGUGUAAAAAUCUCUUGAUUGC